rnacentral:lncRNA from 1 species
GAUAGUUGGUGUAGUCUGCCUAGGGUGAUCAACGUCGGCAUCAAGGAUGGUGCGUGCUUGAACAGCUCCACAGGAUCGACUGUGUGGAAGGCCUAGAAGGCUAGAUGGUCCUCCGGCACAGUGGCGCUAACUAGACCAUUGUCGAAUGAGAAAAGGGAUAGGGUUGGGAGAAGCCUCUGAAACCGUCACGGCGGAGGACCAGCGAGCCGUCGACGACGGCGGUGAA